rnacentral:rRNA from 1 species
ACCGAAUGUGCCUUAGGGUGAAAGAUUUAUUGUCUAGAGAUUGGCUCGCGUCAGAUUAGCUAGUUGGAGUGGUAACGGCACACCAAGGCGACGAUCUGUACUUGGUCUGAGAGGAUGACCAGGCACACUGGAACUGAGACACGGUCCAGACUCCUACGGGAGGCAGCAGUGGGGAAUUUUCCGCAAUGGGCGAAAGCCUGACGGAGCAAUACCGCGUGAGGGAGGACGGCUUUUGGGUUGUAAACCUCUUUUAUCAGGGAAGAAUCGAUGACGGUACCUGAUGAAUCAGCAUCGGCUAACUCCGUGCCAGCAGCCGCGGUAAUACGGAGGAUGCAAGCGUUAUCCGGAAUUAUUGGGCGUAAAGCGUCCGUAGGUGGUUUAUCAAGUCUGCUGUCAAAGCGUGCGGCUUAACCGCAUAAGGGCAGUGGAAACUGAUGAACUAGAGUGCGAUAGGGGUAACAGGAAUUCCCAGUGUAGCGGUGAAAUGCGUAGAUAUUGGGAAGAACACCAGCGGCGAAAGCGUGUUACUGGGUCUGCACUGACACUGAGGGACGAAAGCUAGGGGAGCGAAAGGGAUUAGAUACCCCUGUAGUCCUAGCCGUAAACGAUGACAACUAGGCGUGGUUCGUAUCGACCCGAGCCGUGCCGUAGCCAACGCGUUAAGUUGUCCGCCUGGGGAGUACGCACGCAAGUGUGAAACUCAAAGGAAUUGACGGGGGCCCGCACAAGCGGUGGAGUAUGUGGUUUAAUUCGAUGCAACGCGAAGAACCUUACCAAGGCUUGACAUCCUCGGAACCCUGAUGAAAGUUAGGGGUGCCUUCGGGAGCCGAGAGACAGGUGGUGCAUGGCUGUCGUCAGCUCGUGUCGUGAGAUGUUGGGUUAAGUCCCGCAACGAGCGCAACCCACGUUUUUAGUUGCCAGCAUUCAGUUGGGCACUCUAAAGAGACUGCCGGUGACAAACCGGAGGAAGGUGUGGAUGACGUCAAGUCAGCAUGCCCCAUACGCCUUGGGCUACACACGUACUACAAUGCGUCGGACAAAGAGCAGCCAGCCAGCGAUGGUGAGCCAAUCUCAUAAACCGGCGCUCAGUUCAGAUUGCAGGCUGCAACUCGCCUGCAUGAAGGCGGAAUCGCUAGUAAUCGCAGGUCAGC